rnacentral:rRNA from 1 species
AUUGAACGCUGGCGGCAGGCCUAACACAUGCAAGUCGAACGAGUGGCGGACGGGUGAGUAAUGUCUGGGAAACUGCCCGAUGGAGGGGGAUAACUACUGGAAACGGUAGCUAAUACCGCAUACCAUCGGAUGUGCCCAGAUGGGAUUAGCUUGUAGGUGAGGUAACGGCUCACCUAGGCGACGAUCCCUAGCUGGUCUGAGAGGAUGACCAGCCACACUGGAACUUAGACACGGUCCAGACUCCUACGGGAUGCAGCAGUGGGGAAUAUUGCACAAUGGGCGCAAACCUGGUGCGGCCAUGCCGCGGGGAUGAAGAAGGCCUUCGGGUUGAAAAGUACUUUCAUCGGGGAGGCGUUACCCGCAGAAUAAGCACCGGCUAACUCCGUGCCAGCAGGCGCGGUAGUUC